AGGACUUAAGACCGGAUGCUCUUAAAUUAAAUGCAGUGCUGAAGGUGAGUGCCCAUUGGUGAAGAUGAAACACACUUCAGACCAAGAACUUGGAAGAUUUGACUUUCUUCCUUCCUCCCUCCUCUCUCCCCUCUCCUCUUCCUUCCUCCUUUGGGAGUAAUUUAAGAAGAAUUGAUUGCAAACAGUUGAAAGACUGGUAGAAUUCUGCUGUGAAUCAUUUAGGCCUGAGCUGUUUGAGGUGGAUCUAAUUUAAUAAAGUAUACACUUUUAAAGGA